rnacentral:rRNA from 1 species
CUACGGGAGGCAGCAGUGGGGAAUAUUGGACAAUGGGCGCAAGCCUGAUCCAGCCAUGCCGCGUGAGUGAUGACGGCCCUAGGGUUGUAAAGCCCUUUCGGCGGGGACGAUAAUGACGGUACCCGUAGAAUAAGCCCCGGCUAACUUCGUGCCAGCAGCCGCGGUAAUACGAAGGGGGCUAGCGUUGCUCGGAAUCACUGGGCGUAAAGCGCACGUAGGCGGCUUUCUAAGUCAGGGGUGAAAUCCCGGGGCUCAACCCCGGAACUGCCUUUGAUACUGGGUGUCUAGAGUCCGGAAGAGGUGAGUGGAAUUCCGAGUGUAGAGGUGAAAUUCGUAGAUAUUCGGAGGAACACCAGUGGCGAAGGCGGCUCACUGGUCCGGUACUGACGCUGAGGUGCGAAAGCGUGGGGAGCAAACAGGAUUAGAUACCCCAGUAGUCC